rnacentral:rRNA from 1 species
UCCAGACUCCUACGGGAGGCAGCAGUGGGGAAUAUUGCACAAUGGGGGAAACCCUGAUGCAGCGACGCCGCGUGAGUGAAGAAGUAUCUCGGUACGUAAAGCUCUAUCAGCAGGGAAGAUAAUGACGGUACCUGACCAAGAAGCCCCAGCUAACUACGUGCCAGCAGCCGCGGUAAUACGUAGGGGGCAAGCGUUAUCCGGAAUUACUGGGUGUAAAGGGAGCGUAGACGGUGAUGCAAGUCUGGAGUGAAAGGCGGGGGCCCAACCCCCGGACUGCUCUGGAAACUGUGUAACUUGAGUGCAGGAGAGGUAAGCGGAAUUCCUAGUGUAGCGGUGAAAUGCGUAGAUAUUAGGAGGAACACCAGUGGCGAAGGCGGCUUUCUGGACAUUAACUGACGCUGAGGCUCGAAAGCGUGGGGAGCAAACAGGAUUAGAUACCCGUGUA